rnacentral:rRNA from 1 species
GACGAACGCUGGCGGCGUGCUUAACACAUGCAAGUCGAGCGGUAAGGUCCUUUCGGGGGUACACGAGCGGCGAACGGGUGAGUAACACGUGGGUGACCUGCCUCUAGCUCUGGGAUAAGCCUGGGAAGCUGGGUCUAAUACCGGAUAUGACCUCGCGGUGCAUGUUGCGGGGUGGAAAGCCUUGUGCGGCUAGGGAUGGGCCCGCGGCCUAUCAGCUUGUUGGCGGGGUGANGGCCUACCAAGGCGACGACGGGUAGCCGGCCUGAGAGGGCGACCGGCCACACUGGGACUGAGACACGGCCCAGACUCCUACGGGAGGCAGCAGUGGGGAAUCUUGCGCAAUGGGCGAAAGCCUGACGCAGCGACGCCGCGUGAGGGAUGACGGCCUCGGUU